GACGAACGCUGGCGGCGCGCUUAACACAUGCAAGUCGAGCGAUAACCAUGGCUUCGGCCAUGGGGAGAGCGGCGAACGGGUGAGUAACACGUGAGUAAUCUGCCCUCGACACUGGGAUAGCCCGGGGAAACCCGGAUUAAUACCGGAUAGCCUCUCGAGCUUUCGGGCUCGUGAGAAAAGNUGGCUUCGGCUUUCGGUUGAGGAGGAGCUUGCGGCGGAUUAGCUUGUUGGUGAGGAACGGCCCACCAAGGCGACGAUCCGUAGCUGGUCUGAGAGGACGAUCAGCCACACUGGGACUGAGACACGGCCAGACUCCGUACGGGA
rnacentral:rRNA from 1 species